UACGGAGGGUGCAAACGUUGCUCGGAAUCAUUGGGCGUAAAGCGCACGUAGGCGGUUCGCUAUGUCGGAUGCGAAAGCCCUCGGCUUAACCGAGGAAGGGCAUCCGAAACUGGCGGGCUUGAGUACGGAAGAGGGUCUCGGAAUUCCCGGUGUAGAGGUGAAAUUCGUAGAUAUCGGGAGGAACACCAGUGGCGAAGGCGGAGACCUGGGCCGAUACUGACGCUGAGGUGCGAAAGCGUGGGGAGCAAACAGG
rnacentral:rRNA from 1 species